AUUUUCUCCUACCUUGUCUAUCCC
rnacentral:siRNA from 1 species